rnacentral:rRNA from 1 species
GACGAACGCUGGCGGCGUGCUUAACACAUGCAAGUCGAACGGUGAAGCGCCUUCCUUUUUGGUGGGUGUGGAUGAGUGGCGAACGGGUGAGUAGCACGUGAGUAACCUGCCCCCUUCUUCUGGAUAACCGCAUGAAAGUGUGGCUAAUACGGGAUAUUCUGGGUCUGUCGCAUGAUGGGUCUGGGAAAGAUAUUGUUUCGGUGGGGGAUGGGCUCGCGGCCUAUCAGCUUGUUGGUGGGGUGAUGGCCUACCAAGGCGGUGACGGGUAGCCGGCCUGAGAGGGUGGACGGUCACACUGGGACUGAGACACGGCCCAGACUCCUACGGGAGGCAGCAGUGGGGAAUAUUGCACAAUGGGCGCAAGCCUGAUGCAGCGACGCCGCGUGAGGGAUGGAGGCCUUCGGGCUGUGAACCUCUUUCGCCAGUGAAGCAGGCCUGCCUCGUUUGUGGGUGGGUUGACGGUAGCUGGAUAAGAAGCGCCGGCUAACUACGUG